CUAAAUUUGAAAAUUGACAUUUCAAAAACACAAUUGAAGAGAGCUGAUAAAAGGAUCGUGUUAAAUGGAAAGGAAAAUAUGAUCGUACUGAAAAUGACAGAUGAACAAACAUAAUCUCACAAAGAAACAUAUAAGUUAAUAAUAGCAAGUAGCUGCCAUUAAGUACGGCUUUCUACUUCCUACUACCUCUACCUCCCUAUUAUGUUCAGUGCGAAAGAUAAG
rnacentral:misc_RNA from 1 species